GGAACUGCUAGCAAAUAGGACAGAAGCCAAGGAAGCCGAACAUUUGAGAUACGUGAAAUUCCGGUAAUAAGGGACAAAAUGGUUAAGCUCUUGAUUUGAGACUAAGGAUGGAGAUGGGGCCAUUUAGAAUGCCCAGAUUCAAGAGGCAAGUAGAAAGGAGAGUUGACGAAGGGUCCCGAGCAGGGACAGCUGGAAAAGCAGAGCUGGUGGAACUUGGAGAGCUGUGGCUUCCUGUGGUUGUUGAAGGUGACGGUCAUCUUGAUCCUGGCUGGGCAGUGCUGGAGCAGCUUCCCCACCUGGGGAUCUCACUGGCUAUCCUUCUCCUCAACUUGGAUGUUUAGUUGUCUUUUUAUUUCUUUGUUUAUUGUUGCUAUUGGCUUUGUUUGUGGGUUUAUUUCUUAUUUUGGGACUUUUAGCACAUAAAGUUGGAGAUAAUGAAUGGGAACAGAAUGGGAAAGAGUGGAUAUAAUGAUACACCACAUACCCAUCACCUACUUUCAAUAAUUACCUACACUUUCCCAGUCUUCUUCCAUGUAUUCCCCAUACUCUAUUGUCUAUUUUUCUGGAGAAUUUUGAAGUAAAUCUAAUAUAUCAUACCA
ensembl:lncRNA LINC02828 long intergenic non-protein coding RNA 2828